rnacentral:misc_RNA from 1 species
GAUGAAGAACGCAGCGAAAUGCGAUAAGUAAUGUGAAUUGCAGAAUUCAGUGAAUCAUCGAAUCUUUGAACGCAUCUUGCGCUCCUUGGUAUUCCUUGGAGCAUGCCUGUUUGAGUAUCAUGAGCAAAUCUCAAAGUCAAUUCCUCUUGUUAAUUCAAUUGGUUUUGCUUUGGACUUGGAGGUCUUGCAGAUUUUCACAGUCUGCUCCUCUUAAAUGCAUUAGCUGGAUCUCAGUAAUUAUGCUUGGUUCCACUCGGCGUGAUAAGUAUCACUCGCUGAGGACACUGUUAAAAAGGUGGCCAGGAAAAUACUGAUUGAACCGCUUCUAACGGUCUAUUAAGUUAGACAAUUACCCUUAAGUUUGAUCUCAAAUCAGGUAGGACUACCCGCUGAACUUAAGCAUAUCAAUAAGCGGAGGA